GGGAGCUGCGGACACAGCAAACGCACAGUGGGAUGCGAGCUCAGAGUCAUCUCCCAGAAGCCCUUCCCAAGAAGCUGCCUAGUGGAGGGCAUCGUCUUUUUCUAGUCUCUUUUACGGAGCUGGGGAAACAAUGGUGGUAGCACUGUAAACAUUCUAAAACAGCAGGUACCCAUUUCUGUCUACACACCAACUAUUAGGAAACAUCACAGCAUAUCAGAGACCAACAAGAAGGUUCAUGAUCAGAUAAUCCCCAUGUUCUCUGUGAAAUCAUAAUCUGAUAUGAGCCCUGAUAAAAAAUGUUUACAGUUAUGACAUGUAUGUGUUUUUAUGUGUGUGAGAGAGAAAAAGAGAGAGAGAUGGGGUGGGAAUGUGAAAGGUGUGGCAAUGCGGGGACAGUUAAGUCCUACAUAGCUAGAGUUUUCUAGGGGAGAUAACCACCGAACUGCAGACGGGAGAAUGAAAGGGAAACCAGGUGGGAGGGAAGAUGAUUUGGAAAGUGAUGGAUAUGUAUGAGGUCACAUGUGAAAGAAAAUUUUCCAGAAUGAAGGAUGUGCAUUCCUGGAAGUAUGUGUGUGUGUGUGAAUGUGUGUGCGAAUGUUUAUAUAUAUGUGUGUGUGUGUGUGUGUGUAUAAUGUUUAUUGCAGCAUUUAUUAUAGUGGCAAAAAAUGGAAACAACAGGGGAAUAAAUCAUGUAACAUCCAAGCUGUGAAUUAUUAUGCAACUAUUACAAAGAAUGUCUUGGAAAGAUAAAUGCCUGAAAGCUUCUUUUAUGAUGUCUCUAUGUUCAUAGAUAAUUUGUUCCACCACGUUGACUUGCCAUUUAUUAUUAUCACUCAACUACCAACACCACCAAGGUUAAAGGGACCACGCCUUAGUUAACUUGGUUUAGCAGCUCCUGAUACAUGAGGUCCGACCCGCCCAUGGUCCAGCCCAGGCUCCGCCCCUGAGCAGACUCUUCCGCUCACGGCAGAGUCACCUUGUCCUGCGGCUUCCGCUCCUUCCGCUCCUGCACGGUGGUCAGGUAAUUGACGGCUGCGUACUCCAGCACCGAGAGGAACACGAACACGAAGCUGACCCAGAGGUAGAUGUCCACCGCCUUGAUGUAGGAGACGCGGGGCAUGGAGGCGUUCACGCCGGUGAUGAUGGUGGACAUGGUCAGCACCGUGGUGAUCCCUGCAGGCAGAAAUCUUUUAGUCCCGGUCAUGUAUGAUGGACAGUCAGGGCACCUCCUGCAGCCACUCCAACUCUGGACCUGCCUGUCCACUCAGCACUGUCCACUUGAGGACAAACAGGUGGGCACAGAAAGCACCACAGACCAGGACCACCCAUGCUAGAACUCAGCUCUAACAAGACCAAAGGUGAACUGUUUGCGUGGGCAUCUGUGGGAACCUGGAAACUACUUUGCUACAUAGAUUCUUUUUAAAAAAUUGAAUUAUAGUCAAUUUACAAUGUUGUGUUAAUUCCUGGUAUACAGCAUAGUGAUUCAUUUAUGUAUGUAUUCCUUUUCAUACUCUUUUUCAUUAUAGGCUAUUAUGAAGUACUGAAUAUAGUUCCCUAUGCUGUACAGUAUAAGACUUUGCUGUUUAUUUUAUAUGUAGUAGUUAGUAUCUGCAAAUCCCAAACUCCCAAUUUAUCCCUCCCCACCUUUUUUCCCACUGGUAACCGUAAGUUUGUUUUCUAUGCCUGUGAGUCUGUCUGUGUUUUGGAAAUAAGUUCAUUUGUGUCCUUUUUAAAUUUUUUUUCUUAGAUUCCAUAUGUAAGUGAUAUCAUAUGGUAUUUUUCUUUUCCUUUCUGGCUUACUUCACUUAGUAUGACGAUCUCCAGGUCCAUCCACGUUGCUGCAAGUGACAUUAUUUUAUUCAUUUUUACGACUGAGUGGUCAUAGAUUCGUAACAGUGAUAUUUUGCCUGUGAAUUAAUAACUUGAAGUUUUUCCAAUUUAUAAUGCCAGCAGGGAUUUAGGACCAAUUUGGAAUGAAUGGUUUUAUCUGGAAGGAAUUACUUGAAUUUUCCAGAUGUCUGGAUUGUGCACUUGAGUUGCUUCUUACCUAAAGGGACUCUGGCAGGCACAGCUCUGCGGUCAAUCCAGAAGGACACCCAGGACAGC